GAUGAACGCUAGCGGCAGGCCUAAUACAUGCAAGACGAACGGUAACUUGAGUAGCAAUACUUGAGCAAGAGUGUCGUAAGGGUGCGUAACAAGUAUGCAAUCUGCCCUCAACAGGAGCAUAGCUCCCCGCAAGGGAAAUUGGAAUACACUCCAUAAUAUCAGGGACCGGCAUCGGUUACUGAUUAAAACUACGGUGGUUGAGGAUGAGCAUGCUUCUGAUUAGCUAGUUGGUAGUGUAACGGACUACCAAGGCGAUGAUCAGUAGGGGCAACUGAGAGGUUGAUCCCCCACACUGGCACUGAGAUACGGGCCAGACUCCUACGGGAGGCAGCAGUAGGGAAUAUUGGUCAAUGGGUGCGAGCCUGAACCAGCCAUGCCGCGUGCAGGAAGACGGCCCUUCUGGGUUGUAAACUGCUUUUGUCAGGGGAUAAAAUGAGCGUGCGCGCUUAAUUGAAGGUACCUGGCGAAUAAGCCACGGCUAACUACGUGCCAGCAGCCGCGGUAAUACGUAGGUGGCAAGCGUUGUCCGGAUUUAUUGGGUUUAAAUGGGUGCGUAGGGCGGUUCUGUAAGUCAGUGCUGAAAUNUCCCGGCUUAACCGGGAGGGUGGCAUUGAUACUNUAGGACUUGAGUGGAGUCGAAGUAGG
rnacentral:rRNA from 1 species